CCUACGGGAGGCAGCAGUGGGGGAUAUUGGACAAUGGGGGAAACCCUGAUCCAGCGACGCCGCGUGAGGGAAGAAGGUUUUCGGAUUGUAAACCUCUGUUGACGGGGAAGAAAAUGACGGUACCCGUUCAGAAAGCCACGGCUAACUACGUGCCAGCAGCCGCGGUAAU
rnacentral:rRNA from 1 species